rnacentral:rRNA from 1 species
UACGUGGGGGGCAAGCGUUGUUCGGAAUUACUGGGCGUAAAGGGCGCGUAGGCGGUCAGAUAAGUCAGCUGUGAAAAACUCGGGGCUCAACCCCGAGCCUGCAGUCGAUACGGGCAGGCUAGAGUCCGGCAGGGGAGACUGGAAUUCCUGGUGUAGCGGUGAAAUGCGCAGAUAUCAGGAGGAACACCGGUGGCGAAGGCGGGUCUCUGGGCCGGAACUGACGCUAAGGAGCGAAAGCGUGGGGAGCGAACAGG